CGCGCGGACGGUUCGCCGCCGCCGCCGGGGAGCGCCGGAGACCCCCCCGGGCCGCUACUGCGUCACGUCCCCCCCGCUCCUCCGUGAGGACGUCGGCACCGGGCCGGAGUGCCGCUACCGGUGACGGAUAUCCCGGGUCCGUUGCCCGCUCGAAGCAGAAAGCAGCGACGCGGGAACUGGCGUGCGCUUGGUUUGCUCUCUCGAGUUGCAAAAUCCAGGGAAAUUGUGUUUUCGUGUGUAGCGGCCGUGAGUAACUUUGACCGAAGCAUCCUUCCUUCCUGCCCGUUCUGAAGGAAGGAAUCUCUCCCUUGCCUUUGGUCUCCGUGCUGACGGGAACUCAUACGGGCUUGGUUACUUCAGCCGCUGCUAGGGGAGAGGGGGCCGUGCCGGAGCGGCUGUCACACGGCGUGCUGGUAUGGCUGCUUUGUUCAGUGACACGGGGAUGUUCUUCACCUGCCCUCGGUUGGCUGAGGGGAGCCUUCAUGGCGGCUGCAGCUCCUCACAGAGAGCGGAGGGGCAGCGCUGAGCUCUGCUCUGUGUGACAGCGACAGGGCCCGAGGGAACGGCAUGGAGCUGUGUCAGGGGAGGGGCAGCUGGGGGUCAGGGACAGGGUCUGCACCUGAGGGCGGUGGGCUUUGAAUGGGCUGCCCAGAGCUGUGGGCACAGCCCUGAGCUGCCGGAGUUCAGUGAGCAUUUAACAUCACUCUCAGACGUAAGGUCUGAUCCGUAUGAGUCUCUUCCAGCUUGGAAUAUUCUGUGAUUCACCCUUGAAUUCAAGGUGUUGAACAACCCUGAACCAUGUGCUCCACUGGCAGUGAAGUGCCUCACGCUGACACGGCUUGUUCUUCCUGAGACAAGCUAACGUUACCUCAUGCGUAUAACUUUUUAUAUUGAUAUAAGCAUAUCUGUACCAGGAAAGCUCAGUGAAUUAACUUUACUACUUCUGGCUACAGAUCGCAUAAAAAUAAAUCGUUUCCAUUACUCGUCCUGACAUAGGUAACUCAAAUGUAGUGCUCUUUUGGAAACAAAGCACGCAGUGAAAUUGAAACAGCUUUACUAUGUGAGAAAGUCCUUGUUUGCUUAUAUAUUCAACUGGAACACAUACAUCACAUAUAGAGCUACAUAGUAAUCAAAUUGAAGUACAUAUACAUAAAAAUAAUAUAUGCCUGAAAAAGUGUAUAUUAUGCACGUUUCCGUGUCAAGCCCUAUAUAAACCAUUAGGUUCCAGAAGUGUCUAUUAUGUAAGUAGCUUACAUAAAUAAUCUAAUUGGUGACACACCUAAUACCUGGCAAUGUGUUCUGUUGAAUAGAAGUCCAAAAUUUAUUUAGAAGAUGAAUUAAAAGAAUGUAUCUAAAAGCUGCAAUUCAUGGGUCAGAGUUAAGAUUGUCUGUGUUUUUUUUUUAAUCCACUAUAGAGGGGACUUUCCCUUCCUAAGUGGCUGUUCAUAUUCCUUUGCUCGAGCCCCACAUGAACACAGAUUUCAGCACCAUCCAAUAAUAAUCUGAAAAUUGCCUUCAUGGGUGAAGAUUGCUUUGAGUGGCAUUACUGGAAGUUACCCAUAGCCCUGCCUUAAUCUGGUCUGGGAAGACUUCCUAAAAAAUCAUUUCCAUAUCCAGCCUAUCAGCUAGAGUAAGGAUAUGUAUCCAAAUGAUCAGAGUAAUUCUUGCCCAUGCCUGGUUUGGAUGAGGAGUACAUACAUGAGGACUUCAAGAUGGCUGAUGGUGCCUUUUACUGGGCAAAUGUGCUGGAGAAAGGAACUGGAUAACUGUUCCAAGUAACUGCAGAAUAAUAACAAGGACUUUGUUGGCAAAUUGAAGGUCAGGUGGAGGAGCCAUGCAGACACUGAUCAAUAUUUGCUGCAAGUGACAGAUGUUCACUAUGUCUUGCUCAAAAUCUAUGAGAGAAGGAGGAAGUGUCCAAACUGCUCAGGAAAACAGGAUGAGGGAUUUUGUUCUGCUCUUUCUUAAGCCAGAGAAUAUAGAGGUGAAAAAUGAAUGCGUUGUAGCCAAAUAACAGACAAGCAUCUUUAUUACUCUUUUUUGUUAAGAACUUUUGUUAUUAGGGGAAGGUGAGAACUUUGGGAUGCCUCUACCCAUUUUUUCAUGAUGACCUUUACUAACUCAGCUUAGCUCUGGCAUGACACACCUUAAGUGCUGAGUACACUUAUCUUUGGAAAGGAAAGCAGAAAUCACUCCUGUUUUCUGGAAAGGACACGGAGAUCCUUGGGGACCUACAGGAAGUCACUGCUACUCGUAUUAACCUUGGUAUGCACUUGAGGUACUAGUAUGAAUAUAACAUCUAAAUAUUCUUCAGAGAUUUUUUUCCUUCUGCAUAAUUUCUAGCAAAUUUCCUUGUGUGUUGCUUUCCUUGUCCAAGCCUCCUCUGAAGCUAGAUACUUGCAUGUAAGUGAACACAAAUUGUCACAAGCAUUCUUCCAGUUCUUUUGGUGCCUUCUGGUUCCUGUGCUAAAAGCCAUUCAGAGGAGCCAUGAACAUCUCCUUCCUAUUCUCUUUUUCUAUUUUGAAACAUUUUUUCAUGCCUCACGCAGCUUGCAGGGCUCAUGUUCGUCAUCAUUAUGGUGCCUCGAUUGCCAGAGACAAAUUGCAAAUAUUUGUCAUUUCUACACAGAACACAGUGCCAAUGAUAAUAGGUUUCCUUUUUCUCUCAAUUUUGGGAUGUCAUUACCAUCUGCUUCUUCAGCCUGGGCUUCCCUAGGAAAUUGUUGUUCCCAGGGAAGGCAGUGGUGUUCAACUAAGUAGGAUGCCUCCCACUUCACGUGACCUUGCUAUAGAAAGCCUGUGCUGCUGCUGGAAUGGGAAGGAGAGAAGAAGAUCCAGAAUUGGUGAGAGCUGACCAGCAACAGGAUUCAAGCUUUUAGUUCUAUGUGCGUGUUGGCAGGGACGUUACCUUGAAGUGUGUUUCCAAGAGAUGAGGAAAAAGCCAUACCAAAAAAGGCAGUGGAUAGCUCAGAAAGGAAUUCAGCAUUGCACAGAAGGGUACUGAAACGUAUUUAACUGCAGAAGUAAAUGAGAGACAUCAUACUGACAAUCAGGAAGGUAGCAUUGCCCUGCUCUGUGUGAUAGUAAAAUAGUAAAAUACUGAAAUGGAAUGCAGUCUUUGCAUUUACAUCUCUGAUAGCACAUGCAGGUCAGCACCAUGUGCACUAGAAAGGAACAGACUUCAGAGCAACUGGCCCAAAUCCAAGAAUUUUAUACUGGUAAAGAUUUGAUUUUAAGCGUCUCAUAAUCUCAGCAUUUUGAAAUGCUUAAUUUUGGUAAUUUGUCUCAUAAAAUGUGAAAGGAGCUAAGAGCGCAGCGUGCUGAACGUAGCAUGAGCCAAAGUAAAUCUGCUAUUGCUUUUUCUCUGCUUUCACUGUUAACGGCAAGCCUGCCCUGCAGUCCGUGCUCCCUUUAACUCUUGCAGCGCCUCCACACUCUUGGCAUGACAGGGAGAGCAGCAGCCGAGCAGCGUGAGGUGAGGACGUGGGUUGGGUUCUCAUUUGUGGAAGACCACAGUGACCAUUUUGGGGAAGGUAGUGCCAAGCUGGUGGAGAUAACUCAUGGUUCCUGCAGCUCAUUUCCACUGUCACUGAUGGCAUCCGGAUAUUGCCUGGGUUAGAGGUGCGGGGCUGCAAUCUAAUACAGGACAUGAUAGCAGGAUUUUGCUCUGCAGCAUUUUCAAGCUCACCAUCUAUCUGGAUUUCAAAAAGCAUUUUUGUAACCUCAGUCUUUGCAUUUCAGUGUAGAAGUUUGAAAAAUACAUUAGCUCUACAACUCUCCAUAUGAAGAGGCAUCAUUUGACACCUAUUGUAAACCCCAUUACUACAUUACAACACUGGGGUCCUGUGGUGAUUUGUAUUAAUCUUUUCCAGCUCACCCAGUUCUGGGCAUUUGGAAAGGAAAGUCUUGGAGGUCUCGCUCACACAUUUCAUGCUCUUGUAGUCCAACCGGUAUUUGCUUUCUGCUGGCACUGUUCCCUCUCUCAGGAACGCCUCUCCCUUGCAUUCAGUUUGACAAAUCAUGGUACUUAAGGCAUGUCACAGAACUGGGUAUGGAUUUACUACACACAACCUAUGGUACAGUAUCAGGGGAAGAAGAGAGGCUGUGCUCUGGAGUGUGCAAAUUUGGCUGGUGGGGCUGGAAUUGCAAAGGAACCCAUCCGCAUUCAGCUAGAUUUAAUCCAGAUGAUCUUGUAACAGAAGAGGGCACUCAGGGGCCAGACAGCAAAUAAACUAUAUCAUGAUAUGCGAUGAGGGAAAAUCAUUGAGAGGAUGGACAGAAUCCUCGUCUGAGCUCAGUGCAGCUUAUAGCUGGUAAGCCUGGGUUUCAUUCAUGCAAAACGAAAGCCCAGUCACUUUAAAACAAUCCCUGUGAAUACAUGCGAGACAACUCAUCCAAAGCAUUUGAAGUAACAUCCCUGUGUAGACAGGACUUCAUUAUGCUACUUGUUAUUGUUUUCAGUGAGUCCUCACCUGCUCUUUUAAGUUCAACAUACAUUACGAGAGAAAAUUAUUGCUCAUUAUUGUUGUAUUCCCUAAUUGCCUUCUAUAUUAGUGUGUUCAAAGGAAUGUAUUUUUUCUCUUUGCCCUUCUCUGCCUGCAUCCAGCAACACUCAGCAUUUUCUACAGAGCUCAGAAUUGCUUGCAUUCUUAUAAAAAUGCCUCAGCCAUAUGGGAUUUGCUGAGAGUAAAUUAAAAAGUGCAUGACUUGGGGAAACGCAAUCCUUUAUACUGCACUGAUUCCAUAGUCACGGUAUAAACACGAAGUGUUAGUAUAAAGAAUUUCCACAGUCUUUCAGCAUUUGAGUCCACGUUCUGCACAGGCCAGGAGUGGCAGGAGCUCUCCUGUCAAGGAGUGUGAUGUUGCACUAAGGGGCAGGGGCCAGCUUCUGUGCUUGUAAGUAUAUUGCACCAGCCAAGCUCUAGCUGCAGCCUUGCAGUUUUCCAGGCAGCUCUGCUUCCUUUAGGCAAAGGAACGUGAGCUACUGCAGCUAAUUUUAUGCUAUAUAAAUAAUGUUGAUAGAGAGACAAGCCUGAGAUUAGGUAGGUAAGAUAGCUAAAAUAAUACAUUAAAUAGGAAAGUUGAAGCAUUUGUUUAUCAGAAAUAUGAGUAUGUUCCUCAAGGAGCUGCAGGAGCCUGACUGUAAUGAUGACAAAUGAGAGAUCCCAGAAUAAUAAGAUCAGUCUUGCAUAUAGGCAGAGCCACAACUGAGACUCUGUGUGACAUAGAUGUGCUUGUUGUACAGAGAAAUUGGGUCCUUAGAUUCUGAUAGAGAACAUUGCCUCUUCUUAACAGCCUGCACUUGACGUGCUGACAGAGCAAAGGCUAUGCUGUGUGCCUGGUGCUACUCUGCUCGUCUCCUUCUGCUCCACCUCCCCUUGAGCAUCUCUUCUGGUGGCACAACAGUACUGGACCGAGAGCCACUGAGAGCAGGGACCAUCUUCUGUACAGCACUUCCACUGCUAAUGUCUUGUGUUACUCUUGCCUGAAGCACUUCAUACAAUCUCUCUCUUUGCUGGGCCUUAGAGAAAGCAGGGAAUUUGCUGUAGAACAAGAUGCAUGGGGUGAUGUGUAAGAGGCGGUUUUGCUAUAGGUUACCUGCACAUAGGCAUCUUUGUUGCCCUUCAGAGGUAUCCAUUCAGCUCACCUGUGGGCAGGCACUUUCCUCACCCUCCUGCACAGAACCAGCAGAAUAAGAGCAUCAGGAGCCAGUGGGCAGCCUGCUCCUUCCCACUUUGGUAAUGAGACUGUGCCAAAAUUAGGGACAUGAGGGAAGUGAGCUGCUAGUUGCUUUCUUCUUUAGUCCUCUUUGCAGAUAGGAAUCUAGACACUGGACUUUCUUCCUUCUGAGUAAUAUAUACCUUUCCUCAUUCUUCUGAGCAGUUUAUACCUUGACUCACUGCUGUCCUACUUCAAAGGUGCAGAAAUCAGAGGGAGAUCUCUCACACCUCACUGGAAUGAAGUUGUAUCUUCUCACCUCAGGAUGGGUAAACAGUAUGUCAUCUCAGCUGAGAUCCUAAUGAAGAUGAGUGAGUUAAUGUUUUGUCUCCAAGAUCUAGUUAAAAUACAAGCUUCUUGUUUCAAUUUAGUAAGAGAAAACACCAAUGUGGAUUUCACUUUAAAACAGCUGAAUAUGUACAGUAUCAAUCUAUUGAGAUAAAAUUAUUUUCAUGGAAAGUCAAAGAGUAGAAACACAGAAUGCAGGCCUCAAAAUCUGUUGAAGUGAAACUGCUAGAAGACUAACAAUGGUUCUGUUAUACGCCUAUACAAAAGCAAACUUGAUGGCCUAAUUGAGUUUUAUUAAGCGCUGCCUUUUAAUUGUUGAUGUGACUGAACAAUCAAAACUGUAAAAGGCACUUGGCUAAUAUUCUGAGUAGAGUAAAUCCUUAUGAAAACUUGGUUAUGACACAGCAUCCACCUUUAAAUGGUACCUUUCAUCUCAGAUAACUGAGGAAUUAAGAGGAUAAAUAGAGCCGCCUUAGGUUUUCAUGACUUGUCUGACUCUUUUAUAGGCCUUUACAGUUCAGUAGUUGUGUGUGUCAUGAGGCAAAGAGUUCAUGAGGGAAGUCUCCAAGAAAUUCAGCACGCACAGGUUCAAAAGGAUGGUUGCUCUAAGCCCUCUUUGAAGCUUUCAUAGUGAGCCCUGGCAGCACAGCCUGCAGAGAGCUUGUGGCUGCAGAAGAGCAGACCGACAGCACUACUGUCUGUAAGGUGUGCAAGUCUGAAUUUGGUUAGCUUGUUCAUGUUACCACAUGCAACAAAAGGCAACCUGAAAGGUGAUUCCUCCUGUCCCACCACAGUAGUGCUCAUGCUGGCCGGCUCUGGCAGGUAAGCUUCCUCCAGCCAUGAUCUGGUUGAGAAGGAUGUUGGCAGAAGCAUUGUGCAAGAACAUACAUCACACUCAGUGACACUUGCUCUGUGGGGUGGUUGAACCUACUUAUUUGUCUCCCUUUAGUUACCCCCUUAAUUUUUUAUAUCAACAAUUAAUACUAUUCCGUAAUUUUCUCCAAGUCUAUGUUUGCACUGUAUUUAAAGAGAUAAGGAGGUAAGUUUUUUUGUGAACAAGGAGUCCUAGCAAUAAAGAAAGCUAUUAUAUCCUGAGGGAGACUAACUCCUCAGAAAGUCCUUUUUUUCUGGGGUUAUGCAUGAAAGCCAGGCCUGGAGUUGGAUCCUUUUUAUGGAGCCAUGAAUAAAGAGAAAAAGAGAAAACAUUCAGACGAGAUCAGUCUGUUGAGAGUGCUGGGGCUAUAUGACUCACUGAAUUGACUGAGUAGGUAAAAAAAACAAACACACAAAAUAUUAAAAGAGUAGUUCAGAUCAAUACAAAUAAAACCCCAAUUUUGUUCUCACUGAGAUCAGGGGAGAAAAAAAAAAGAAAAAAAAAAAAGUUGGGAAUAUAGAUUAGCUUGGUUUAAAGACCUGUAAGGUAAAAAAGGGUUAUAGCUGGUCAGGUUCACGGACCUGGUGGAAGUGGUGUCACCUUUCACAGGUGGCUCAGGCUUUCAAGAGUUCUCCAAAGUAGUAGGAACUUAGGUUACAUUUCUUCAUGAUUUAGGCAGAAAGUGAAUUAGUAGUUGAGUUUCACAUGCCUAGAGCUCCUGCUCAGGUAAAAAGAGUUGCUUUGGAUUGUGCUUUUCUCAAUUAUUUUGGCUGAGGCGGAUGCUUUUCCCCAAAAGAAUGACAGACUGAAGCAGAAUGCAUGAGAAAUAUUCUUUACCUAGUGGUCAGAUUACUCAUUUGAAUGGUGGAAUUACCUCUAAGGCUCCCUGGCAGGUUCCAGUUCCAUAUCCAGUGAAUGUUUAAUUGUUUUUGAGAAAUGAAGUGGCACUAAGACAGAUUGAGAGUGUACAUGGCUGAAGUUGCCUCCAACCUUUAUGGAAGAUAGGGAAUAUGUGUUAAACUGAGGAGGAGGACACAGUAAGCCUCUCACAAUCUGAACAAAUGAUCACAACUCCUCCAGUGGAAGGGAGACAUUAAUCCUUCCUCUAACACUAGCUGGAUCUUAGCGCAAAAUUGAUACUCACAUUUCUCUGAAGUUCUGCAAAAUUACUUCGAAACACAUUUGCCAUCUGCCAGGAUAAAACAGUGUCAAACUAAGCCACCCAAAAUACGCAAUCAAAUCUUCAUUACAAAUAAGGCCACCUCAUUUUCAGGUGUUUUACAUAGCUUAGCGUCCUUGUGUAGUUAUAUUCUAAAUACACCUACAAGCAAACCUUUUCUUGGUGUCUCAGAAUGAGUCAGUACCUCAAGCUUCUCUUGGGCUGGACUUCACCACAACUUCUUGUCUCUGCAGACAGACUAUGCAUUAAAUAAAAGAGUGUG
ensembl:lncRNA